UACGGGGGGAGCAAGCGUUGUUCGGAUUUACUGGGCGUAAAGGGCGCGUAGGCGGUAGCACAAGUCAGGCGUGAAAUUCCUGGGCUUAACCUGGGGGCUGCGCUUGAUACGUGUGGACUGGAGUGCGGAAGAGGGUCGUGGAAUUCCCAGUGUAGAGGUGAAAUUCGUAGAUAUUGGGAAGAACACCGGUGGCGAAGGCGGCGACCUGGUCCGUGACUGACGCUGAGGCGCGAAAGCGUGGGGAGCAAACAGG
rnacentral:rRNA from 1 species